CCUACGGGAGGCAGCAGUGGGGAAUAUUGCACAAUGGGGGAAACCCUGAUGCAGCGACGCCGCGUGAGUGAAGAAGUAUUUCGGUAUGUAAAGCUCUAUCAGCAGGGAAGAAAAUGACGGUACCUGUUUAAGAAGCCCCGGCUAACUACGUGCCAGCAGCCGCGGUAAUACGUAGGGGGCAAGCGUUAUCCGGAUUUACUGGGUGUAAAGGGAGCGUAGACGGCAGCACAAGUCUGAAGUGAAAUGCCGGGGCUUAACCCCGGAACUGCUUUGGAAACUGUGCAGCUAGAGUGCAGGAGAGGUAAGUGGAAUUCCUAGUGUAGCGGUGAAAUGCGUAGAUAUGAGGAGGAACACCAGUGGCGAAGGCGGCUUACUGGACUGUAACUGACGUUGAGGCUCGAAAGCGUGGGGAGCAAACAGGAUUAGAUACCCUUGUAGUC
rnacentral:rRNA from 1 species